rnacentral:rRNA from 1 species
UACAGAGGGUGCAAGCGUUAAUCGGAGUUACUGGGCGUAAAGGGCGCGUAGGCGGUUUGUUAAGUGAGAUGUGAAAUCCCUGGGCCUAACCUAGGAACUGCAUCUUAUACUGGCAGACUGGAGUACUGUAGAGGGUAGUGGAAUUUCCGGUGUAGCGGUGAAAUGCGUAGAGAUCGGACGGAACACCAGUGGCGAAGGCGGCUACCUGGACAGAUACUGACGCUGAGGCGCGAGAGCGUAGGGAGCAAACAGG